AUAGACACAUAGGUUAAUAAAUGCAGUAGGGAGUUGGUAAUGCUAAGACCGAAGCUGUGCUUCUGAACCAGGAAAGCAGCUUUUGAACACGUCAUUUGGGUGAAACAUAGACUACUGGGAAAAGCAACUGGGGUGCAGAGAUCAGCAGUAGAGUCCUUGCUUGUUGCUCAGGCAAGGGUCUGAGCUGGAAUGAUCGCACACACGUAAAAUGUCAGAGGCAGGUGCAAAAGAUUUAGCUACAUCGCAGGUAGGUUUUAGCCCUCGACCUUGGAUGCAUGAUCUUGGGGGUCAAGGAUGGCAGCAUUUAAAAAAAAUUAUUUUAUUGUUUUGUUUUUUAAUAUAGUGACUUUUAUUUUUUCGUUAUAGCUGAUUACAGUAUUCUGUCAAUUUUCAACCGUACAGCAUGGAGACCCAGUUACCCGUACAUGUGUACCUUCUCUUUUCUCACAUUAUCAGGCUCAGAUGGCAGCAUUUUAUGCGCGCUAAUUCCUGAAUCAUUUUUUCAUGAAAGAAAAAUACUAAAGAGAUAGUAGCGUCUCCAUUUAGGAAUAGAUUUAGUCAUAGUACUUUUAAUAUUGUUUAGAUUUAUUGAUUAUUUGCCUUUCCUUGGAACUUCUUAAAAGGCAAGUUAAAAGCUCAAUAUGAAAGAAAGAAAUAUGACAUUGAGUCAUCAAAAUACGGUGAGAAUAGAGAUGAGGAGUUUUCUGCUCACUUAGCCUGCAGGGAGGUUCUGAGUCAUAGUUCUUUCCAGGCUAAAUGACUCAGAGUCAUUACUUAGUUGAUGCAAAUCACUCUUUACUGGGGGAGGGGAGUGGACAGGGAGGGUGUUUGGUGCAAGACAGUACUUGGAAGGUAACAUGAUAAAAGCUAAUGAAGCUUAUGCCGAAUGGCGUCUCACACUGGCCUCCUCCAAACGUCUUGACAUUAACUGUACAUUUGUAAUUUUGAAUUAUUCAUCUUAAUGAGCUCCUCAUAUUGCAUAAUUUUAGGAGCCACAAAACUCAGACUCAUCCCUGGAAAUAAUCAUGAGUUGUUAACCUGUAGUCACUGCAUAGGUUUCAGAUGGCUCAAGAGUCCUUGGUAGCUGUAGGCGACCCUUUGUGUCCAGAACCCUUCGUCCUUUGAGUGGGCUUAAAGAGGUCAUCAGGUUUUCCAAGGGGGCUGAAAACAAGCACAACAUUAAGAACUUCAGGGGGAAAAAAGGGAAACGGGGCUGGGGAGUGAGGUGGGCAUGAGGAGGGAUGGGAAGUGGCGAUUAGAACAAGACGUACUUAAAGGGUCCCCAGAUAAUUCUCAUUGGCGUUCAGCUUGGAAAAACACUGAUCCAGCUAGUACUUAUCAUUUUUGAACUGUGUUGGAACGUUUAAGAAAGAAUCAAGAUUUUAUGGCCAAAAAAUCAUGUUUUGAAACCUAUGACUGCUUGGGCAAAUUACUUAGCCUCUCUGAGCUUUAAUUUCUACCUGAGGAAAAUCAGUAUAUGAUGAGUACGAGCCAUGUGUUCUAGGGUAGGAAAAAGGGAAAAGUGAGGAGCAUAACUGACCUUGAAAAUGGUAGCGUCAGUAGGUAGGAGGCCAUGGUGAUGUCAGUAGUUGUUGGACGCAGGUUUUAAAUGAUAUGAAUGAGAAAGUGACUUUGAGGAAGGGAAGAAAGGAUGAGAGGUGGUAACUCCAGGAUGUCCAAAGCAGCUAUUAAGUGGGUGCAGCCAUUAGUGAUGACGGGAUCUAGGGCAUAACCCCAGGAGUAGAUGACUGAGUUUACACACAGGAGAUUUUUGGAGAUGAGGCAGAAUGAGUUAAUUGGUCAAGGAAUUGGAAAGAUUUUCUAAGUGGCUAUUGAAAUUGGCAAGAAAGAUGAAGAGAGGUAGGCUCAGAUUCUGUAUACAUUUAUUUUUUCCAUGCUAAGAAUAUUCUUUAGUUUUCCCAUUUUUAGAAAUAAAAUAAUAACUCAUAAAGUGUUACCUUAAAGUGUUACAUCAAAAAGUUAAAUUGUCGUCAUAUAAAGAAAAAUAAAUCAGUGACCCACAUUGGUUCAUCAUUUCACUCUCUCCUUCCCCACACACAAGGUAAAUGAUGAGGAUGUUAUUAGCCUUAGCAUUAAUCAUUCAGCCUAUUUUUAAGUAAUAUUAUUGAAUAAUGGGGAAAUUAUUUAGUGAUUUAUUGUCAGUUGGCACAGCUGUCAGAUUCUAUGGAACACUUUCUCAAUGCUGAGACAAAGAUUCAGCAUAAUACUGGAAUGGCCUCUAAUGGCUUAGCUGGUUAAAAAAAAAAAUCCUAUUCAGUCAGGAUUUUGCAGAUUGCAGGAAAAAGAUCCUCAUGAGUCUUCUUGUGUCUUAGGUCUCUUAAUGUGCCCUUUGGUGUUUCAUAAAAGUGAAACGAUUAAAGAAGAAUUCUCCCCGGGUUUCCAGAGUGCCUUGCUGACACAGCAGGUGUGCAGGUCUUUCUGACAGAGCCUGUUACAGAAAGGGUGGUGCAUCUACUGAGGCCAACGCCCUUUUGUCCUCCAACCAGCAAAGCCCUCAAGCAGCUGAUGAGGCGCUCAGCUUCCUGAGCUUGUCAUUUCUGAAGGUCUCCUUACUUCAUGCAAGAAUUUGCCAGUUACUUUCUGCUCCUUCAUGCUCCCUCUAACAUCCCCACUCUGAGUCAACUAAAUAUUUUUAAAAAUAAGAAUACCUGUUGGUUUUCCUACUGUUUAAAUUCUUUAGGAGCCAUAUAUUAAAUUCUUGCUGCUGUGCUAUUCAGGACAUUUUAAUUCUUUACCUGCCCGGCUCUGCCUGAUAUACUUACUCACCUCAGCUAAGAAACUGCUCCAGUGGGAAAACGAUUGUGUGUUGAACUCUGGCCCAUUUGACAAGCAAUAAAUGCGAUCCUUAAAGGGGGACGACCAAUGUUUUCCUGCUGAAUAUUGUGCAAACAAAUAAAGCUUUAAGUGUGCGAAAUCGUUUCCAAUUUUUUAGGUGAUUGUGACAAUGCAGCACUUCUCCCUUCUAAAACAAAUGUCCUUUUAAAACACAGUGAGUAGUUAGAUCAUAUUUGGUCAAACACUCGUUGCCAAUUAUGUAUUUGCUUACAGUUCUUUGAUAAGUGUGACAAAAGUUCGUUUUCAAAAAAGGAUUUAGAGAAUUUUAUGUGAAGUGAAUUUUUAUUUAUGUAGAGGACUUUAGUAUUUUUCAAGUACACCACAUGUGUUACCGUGACUAACUGGGUCUCAAAAACACUCAAUAAACUGAUUUAUUAUUAUUUCUACUUUGUGCAGAUAUGAAAACAGAGAAUCAGGGAAAUUAAGGGAUUUGACUCAUUCAUUUAGGGUUAAUAUAAAAUUGUUCUUGAUAUUCAGUCAUUUACUCUUUGCAUUUUUAUAUCACCAAAUUUUGAAACUCCAUAGUCAUUCCUACAGAUACUCUUUACGUGUAUAUAUAUAUAUACAUAUAUAUAUAUACACACACAUAUAUAUGGUACUUGUGUAUUCCUGAAAUUUGUACAUCCUAUGUUUUUAAGGAAAUCAUAUUUUAAAUGUGCAGAUAUUACUCGUUAUUUAACUAAAUUCUGACAUGAAGUUUGGCAAAUUUAAAAAUGUUUUUUAAGCGUGACUCACUUAUUCUGCAUAACUACAAUACAAAUUAGAAAGAACAUCCUACAUAACUUAUGGAAGUAAUUUUACCCAGUGGGUGGUGAAUAUAUUUAUCUUUCUUUUUUCUUUGUAAACAAAACUCAGGUCAUUUUAUACAUAUUGCAUUAUAAUUUGCAUUUCCUAUGAUAUGAAACAGAAUGACAUUUUACAUUUGUCUACACUUUGUUUCUAAGAGGAAAUUUUUUCUAAACCAUUCUAUUAAUAUCUCUCUAUUCCUUUAUGCCGCCUCUAGACAUUUAAACAAGCUCCAAAAGUGGCCCUUGUAUGUUCUGUCUUGUUUCAGACGUUUAUUAAUAUCGUCAAAGCUAUUUCUUUUUAAUUUCUUUUUAAAAUGUCAGAUAUUUUUUAAUUCCAAAAAA
rnacentral:lncRNA from 1 species